rnacentral:rRNA from 1 species
GAUGAACGCUGGCGGCGUGCCUAAUACAUGCAAGUAGAACGCUGAAGGAGGAGCUUGCUCUUCUGGAUGAGUUGCGAACGGGUGAGUAACGUGUAGGUAACCUGCCUGGUAGCGGGGGAUAACUAUUGGAAACGAUAGCUAAUACCGCAUGACAACAGUUAUUGCAUGAUAACUGUUUAAAAGGGGCAACUGCUCCACUACCAGAUGGACCUGCGUUGUAUUAGCUAGUUGGUGAGGUAACGGCUCACCAAGGCGACGAUACAUAGCCGACCUGAGAGGGUGAUCGGCCACACUGGGACUGAGACACGGCCCAGACUCCUACGGGAGGCAGCAGUAGGGAAUCUUCGGCAAUGGACGGAAGUCUGACCGAGCAACGCCGCGUGAGUGAAGAAGGUUUUCGGAUCGUAAAGCUCUGUUGUAAGAGAAGAACGAGUGUGAGAGUGGAAAGUUCACACUGUGACGGUAUCUUACCAGAAAGGGACGGCUAACUACGUG